UUAAGCCAUGCAUGUGUAAGUACGAGCAAAAUGAAUGCUCUAGCCGUGAACGGCUCAUUAUAUCAGCUAUGAUUUAUUGGAUCUGUACACCCAGUUAAGUUGGAUAACUGUGGUAAUUCUAGAGCUAAUACAUGAUUCCUAAAGUCCCCGACUCACGUAGAAAUACAAAGAGGAAGGGUGCUUUUAUUAUUGAAUUCAAACUGGUAGUGCGAUGUGUGUAAAAUACACCGUUGUACAAAAACCAAUACUAUGAUGACUCAGAAUAACUUCUGGCUAAGCGCAUGGCCUCUGUGCUAGUGCUGUUUCUUUCAAGUGUCUGCCUUAUCAGCCUUCGAUUGUAAGUUAUGUGCUUACAAUGGCUAUAACGGGUAACGGGGAAUCAGGGUUCGAUUCCGGAGAGGGAGCCUGAGAAACGGCUACCAGUUCUAAGGAAGGCAGCAGGCACGCAAAUUACCCACUCCCAGCACGGGGAGGUAGUGACGAAAAAUAACGAUGCAAGACUCAUUAGGGUCUUUGUAAUCGGAAUGAGAACACUUUAAAUCCUUUAUCUAGGAUCAAUUGGAGGGCAAGUCUGGUGCCAGCAGCCGCGGUAAUUCCAGCUCCAAUAGCAUAUACCAAUGUUGUUGCGGUUAAAAAGCUCGUAGUUGGUUCUAUGAAAGAGCUUUGAAAAGUCUUCUUAACCUAAAGGUAGUUGACUAUAAACCAAAUGCCUCGGCAAAUAGACCUUCUGCAUGUGCGCAUGCACUCUGUUCUUAACGGGAUAGGUGUGUGUGUGUAUGUGUGUGUUGGUCUAGCCAACUUACAUGGAGUUGCUCUUGAACGAGUGACCCAAGUGGUUGGCAUGUUUACUUUGAAUAAAUUAGAGUGCUCAAAACAGGAUAAUAUAAAGCCUGAAUAGACAUGCAUGGAAUAAUGGAAUAAGACCUCGGUUCUACUGUUUUUCCAGUUUGAAAGAACCGAGGUAAUGAUUAAAAGAGACUGCCGGGGGCAUCUGUACUGCAGCGCGAGAGGUGAAAUUCUAUGACCGUUGCAUGACAAACAACAGCGAAAGCAUUGCCAAGAAUGUCUCAU
rnacentral:rRNA from 1 species